rnacentral:rRNA from 1 species
ACGAACCGUGCGAACGUUGUUCGGAAUCACUGGGCUUAAAGGGCGCGUAGGCGGGCUAUCAAGUCCGGGGUGAAAUCCUCCAGCUUAACUGGAGAACUGCCUCGGAUACUGAUGGUCUCGAGGAGGAUAGGGGCACACGGAACUGUGGGUGGAGCGGUGAAAUGCGUUGAUAUCCAUAGGAACUCCGGUGGCGAAAGCGGUGUGCUGGAUCCUUUCUGACGCUGAGGCGCGAAAGCCAGGGGAGCAAACGGG